GGGCGUGUGGCUCAGUUGGUAGAGCGUUCGCUUAGCAUGCUUCAGUGUAUGCGAAAGGUCCUGGGUUCGAUUCCCAGCUCGUCCA
rfam:Podospora anserina genomic DNA, chromosome 1.